AACGCACAUUGCGCCCCUUGGUAUUCCGGGGGGCAUGCCUGUUCGAGCGUCAUUACAACCCUCAAGCUCUGCUUGGUCUUGGGCGUCACCGGUCCCCGGUGUGCCUUAAAAUCAGUGGCGGCGCCAUCUGGCUCUAAGCGUAGUACACACUCUCGCUACAGACGCCCGGUGGAUGCUGGCCAGCAACCCCCAUUUCUCAAGGUUGACCUCGGAUCAGGUAGGGAUACCCGCUGAACUUAA
rnacentral:misc_RNA from 1 species